rnacentral:rRNA from 1 species
UACGUAGGGGGCUAGCGUUGUCCGGAAUCAUUGGGCGUAAAGAGCGUGUAGGCGGCCCGGUAAGUCCGCUGUGAAAGUCGGGGGCUCAACCUCGAAUGCCGGUGGAUACUGUCGGGCUAGAGUGCGGAAGAGGCGAGUGGAAUUCCUGGUGUAGCGGUGAAAUGCGCAGAUAUCAGGAGGAACACCGGUGGCGAAGGCGGAUCUCUGGGCCAUUACUGACGCUGAGGAGCGAAAGCGUGGGAGCGAACAGG